UGGGGAAUAUUGCGCAAUGGGGGGAACCCUGACGCAGCAACGCCGCGUGAAGGAUGAAGGCUUUCGGGUUGUAAACUUCUUUGAUGAGGGACGAAAGAAAUGACGGUACCUCAAAAACAAGCCACGGCUAACUACGUGCCAGCAGCCGCGGUAAUACGUAGGUGGCGAGCGUUGUCCGGAAUUACUGGGUGUAAAGGGCGUGUAGGCGGGGAUGCAAGUCAGAUGUGAAAUGCCGGGGCUUAACUCCGGAGCUGCAUCUGAAACUGUGUUUCUUGAGUGUCGGAGAGGAAAGCGGAAUUCCCAGUGUAGCGGUGAAAUGCGUAGAUAUUGGGAGGAACACCAGUGGCGAAGGCGGCUUUCUGGACGAUAACUGACGCUGAGGCGCGAAAGCGUGGGGAGCAAAACAGGAUUAGAUACCCUGGUAGUCCACGCUGUAAACGAUGGAUACUAGGUGUAGGAGGUAUCGACCCCUUCUGUGCCGGAGUUAACACAAUAAGUAUCCCACCU
rnacentral:rRNA from 1 species